GACGAACGCUGGCGGCGUGCUUAACACAUGCAAGUCGAACGGAAAGGCCCUGCUUUUGUGGGGUGCUCGAGUGGCGAACGGGUGAGUAACACGUGAGUAACCUGCCCUUGACUUUGGGAUAACUUCAGGAAACUGGGGCUAAUACCGGAUAGGAGCUCCUGCUGCAUGGUGGGGGUUGGAAAGUUUCGGCGGUUGGGGAUGGACUCGCGGCGUAUCAGCUUGUUGGUGGGGUAGAGGCUUAACAAAGCUUUGCGGGGUAGCCGACCUGAGAGGGUAACCGGCAACAAUGAGACUGAGCUGCGGCACAGCCUACUACGGGAGGCAGGAGAGGAGAAUAGGGCACAGUAGGCGGAAGGCUAAUGCGGUAAGGCCGCGUGGGGGAUGACGGCCUUCGGGUUGUAAACCGAUUUCGCCUGUGAAGAAGAGUGAGUGACGGUAAUGGGUAAAGAAGCACCGGCUAACUACGUG
rnacentral:rRNA from 1 species